AAUUUCUAUACAUUAUACAGGUUUAAAUAAUCUUUAUUAAUAUUUAGACGGAACUCCGGCAGAAAAAAUAACUUGGAGGUGUUCCAUUAAAGGUUGGGAAUGACACAGGGGGUAUUUCUCCAUCCCCUCUUCCAUCUCCCAUCAAAAAAACCUCAAAAAUCGACGGGUCAUAUUGGAAAGUUUAACC